UACGGAAGGGGGCUAGCGUUGCUCGGGAAUCACUGGGGCGUAAAGGGCGCGUAGGCGGCGUUUUUAAGCGGGGGAUCGAAAGCCUGGUGGCUCAACCACAGAAUGGCCUCGAUACUGGGACGUUGGAGGUAUGGGUAGAGGUUGGUCGGAACUGCGAGUGUAGAGGUGAAAUUCGUAGAUAUUCGCAAGAACACCGGUGGCGAAGGCGGCCAACUGGACCAUUCUGACGGCUAGGCGCGAA
rnacentral:rRNA from 1 species